rnacentral:rRNA from 1 species
GAUUUCUUCAUGUAACGCNAAAAUCAGCAGGGAAGAAAAUGACGGUACCUGCCUAAGAAGCACCGGCUAAAUACGUGCCAGCAGCCGCGGUAAUACGUAUGGUGCAAGCGUUAUCCGGAUUUACUGGGUGUAAAGGGAGCGCAGGCAGUGCGGCAAGUCUGAUGUGAAAGCCCGGGGCUCAACCCCGGUACUGCAUUGGAAACUGUCGUACUAGAGUGUCGGAGGGGUAAGCGGAAUUCCUAGUGUAGCGGUGAAAUGCGUAGAUAUUAGGAGGAACACCAGUGGCGAAGGCGGCUUACUGGACGAUAACUGACGCUGAGGCUCGAAAGCGUGGGGAGCAAACAGGAUUAGAUACCCUGGUAGUCCAAGGGCGAAUUC